rnacentral:rRNA from 1 species
UGGGGAAUAUUAGGCAAUGGGGGAAACCCUGACCUAGCCAUGCCGCGUGCGUGAAGAAGGUCUUAGGAUUGUAAAGCGCUUUCAGCGGGGAAGAUGAUGACGGUACCCGCAGAAGAAGCCCCGGCUAACUCCGUGCCAGCAGCCGCGGUAAUACGGAGGGGGCUAGCGUUGUUCGGAAUUACUGGGCGUAAAGGGCGUGUAGGCGGCCAAUUAAGUCAGAGGUGAAAUCCCCGAGCUCAACUUGGGAACUGCCUUUGAUACUGAUUGGCUAGAGUUCGGGAGAGGGUAGUGGAAUUCCCAGUGUAGAGGUGAAAUUCGUAGAUAUUGGGAAGAACACCAGUGGCGAAGGCGGCUACCUGGACCGAUACUGACGCUGAGGCGCG